rnacentral:rRNA from 1 species
ACCCGUUGAUCCUGCGGGAGGUCGCUGCUAUUGGGGUUCGAUUAAGCCAUGCAAGUCGGAGGGUCUCUUCGGAGACACAGGCAGAAUGCUCAGUAACACGUCAAUAAUCUGCCCUUAGGUCUGGGAUAACCUCGGAAAACUGAGGCUAAAACCGGAUAGGAGAAAAUUACUGGAAUGUUUUUUCUCUUAAAAGCAAUGCCUAAGGAUGAGUUGGCGGCUGAUUAGGCAGUUGGUGGGGUAAAGGCCCACCAAACCGAUGAUCAGUAGGGGCCUUGAGAGAGGGAGCCCCGAGAAGGGCACUGAGAUACUGGCCCUAGCCCUACGGGGUGCAGCAGGCGCGAAACCUCUACAAUGCACGCAAGUGUGAUAGGGGAACCCCAAGUGCUUAUGCUUAGCAUAGGCUUUUGCCAAGGGUAAAAACCUUGGCGAAUAAGUGGUGGGAAAGACCGGUGCCAGCAGCCGCGGUAACACCGGCGCCACGAGUGGUGGCCACGAUUAUUGGGCCUAAAGCGUCCGUAGCCGGUUUGAUAAAUCUUUUGUGAAAUUGUUAAGCUCAACUUAACAGCGUGCAGAAGACACUAUUAGACUAGGGACCGGGAGAAGUUAGGAGUAUGUAAGGGGGAGCGGUAAAAUGCUAUAAUCCCUUACAGACUACCUGUAGCAAAGGCGCCUAACUAGAACGGAUCCGACGGUGAGGGACGAAAGCCAGGGGAGCGAACCGGAUUAGAUACCCGAGUAGUCCUGGCCGUAAACGCUGCGAGCUAGGUGUUGCAUAUUCUAACAUGAAUAUGCAGUGUCGAAGUGAAGACGUUAAGCUCGCCGCCUGGGAAGUACGGUCGCAAGACUGAAACUUAAAGGAAUUGGCGGGGGAGCACUACAAGGGGUGCGGCGUGCGGUUUAAUCUAACUCAACGCAGAAAAUCUCACUAGAGGCGACGGCAGGAUGAAAGUCGGGCUGAAGACCUUACUUGACGAGCCGAGAGGUAGUGCAUGGCCGCCGUCAGCUCGUGCCGUGAGGUGUCCUGUUAAGUCAGGCAACGAGCGAGACCCACAUCUACAAUUGCCAGCAGAUUCUUUAGAAUGACUGGGCACAUUGUAGGGACUGCCUUCGAAAGGAGGAGGAAGGCGUGGGCUACGGUAGGUCUGUAUGCUCCGAAUCUUCUAGGCUACACGCGCGCAACAAUGGUAAGGACAAUGGGCUACAACUCCGAAAGGAGAAGUUAAUCCUCUAAACCUUAUCCUAGUUCAGAUUGAGGAUUGUAACUCAUCCUCAUGACGAUGGAAUCCCUAGUAAUUGGGUGUCAUCAUCGCCCAGUGAAUAUGUCCCUGCUCCUUGCACACACCGCCCGUCAAACCACCCGAGUAGGGUCUAGAUGAGAAUUAGUUUUUAAUUGAUUCGAAUCUAGGCUCAGCGAGGAGGGUUAAGUCGUCACAAGGUA